CCGGAUUUCUUCAUCUGCGUGGUUUUCUGGAGAGUCCAGACUGCAGACUGCAGACUCUGUGGUUGAGGGAUUGCAGUUUGUCAAAGAUCAGCUGUGUCGCUCUGGUCACAACUCUGAAGCUCAACCUGUCCCACCUGACAGAACUGGACCUGAGAUACAACAACCUUCAGUCUUCAGAUGUUCAGCAGCUCCAGGAUCUGGUGGAGAGUCCAAACUCCAAACUGCAGACUCUGAGGUGGUGUGGUGGAAGCCUCCGGUACUCCUGGUGGAGCAGAGAGGAGGAUCAGUAGCAGCUGGUCUGCAGAGAUGUUGUUCCUGGAGGUGAAGAGCAGAGUGAUGGAGGAAUCAGAGGAAGUGGAGAUGAAUGUCAGAGCUGCGGCAUGAACUGAUCUGUGAUCAGCUCCACUGUCUCUCUCAGCAUUAAGUGGACAGUUAUUGUGCUGCAGCUCCCCCGGUGGACUAAUGGAGAACUGCACUUCAUCUUCUCAUUCUAACUUGGAGUGUUGGGAAGUCUUCUGCUUCCCUUCUCUCUCGUAUUUGGAGCUUCUCUUAACUUUGUCCACACACUCUUGCUGUAGUUUUCUCCUCCUCAUGUGUCCUGAAACUGUUUCUCUGAAUGAUCUGUGUUGGUGAUUCAUCAGAUUCAGACAUGAUGGUUUCCUGCAGAAGCUCAGAAGUCUUUUCUGGUGUUUCUUGGACUCCUGCACGUCUCUGUACCACAGAGUGGACCAGCAUUCUCUGAACAUCCUUCAGCUGGUCCAGAAAGCAGCAGCAUGACUGUUGACCAGAGAAAGAAAACCUUCCAGCAGUUCUGGCCUCAGGAUUCUCCAUCUGGGAGCAUUUUGGUUCUUCUUUUUCAUCUUUAUCAGACCUUUCAGAACCACAAAGUGGACUGAGUUCCACUGAUUAAAGGCUGCUGGGUUUUGUAUGUUGUUCAUUAUUUUACAGGAUUUUGUUCUAUUGUAACCAUGGUAACUGUGGGAACCACACUCCUGUUUACUCUGAGUCCUGAAGCAGAAAUCCCACCAGAACUAACAAAAGUCUCCCAGUUGAAUCAUUUUUAUUUCAAGGAUCCAUUUUGGGACCUCUUUGAUUUAUUAUAUAUAUUAAUGAUUUAAUACGUUCUUGUAAAACCAUCUUCCCUCUCAUGUUUGCAGAUGAUAAGUGUAUUCUUAUAGCCAACUCAAAUUUGGAUUCCUUAAUAAAGCAAAUGGAGAAUUAUUGAAUAUUUCUGAGUGGUUUAAAUUAAAUCAACUUUCUUUAAAGACGAAUUACAUGAGUUUUAGUAAUAAAAUGAAUGCAUUCAAUUUAGUAAAUCAAAAACUUAAUAUUGACAGCAUUUUUAUUAACCAAGUUACUCAAACAAAGUUCUUGGGAGUGAUUGUUGAUCAAAACUUAACUUUGAAAAAUCGUACUCAAAAUAUUUGUAAAAAAGUUAUGAAAUCAGUUGGUAUUUUGAACUAAAUUCACUCCUCUAUAAACACACCUUACAUGAUGAAGUUGUGCUACACUUUAAUUUAUCCAAACUUUAUCUACUGUAAUAUGAUUUGGGGCAAUACAUGUACAGUAUAUUUGAAUAAUUUGUUACUGUUACAAAAAAGAUUCCUACGUGUCAUUAGUUUCAAAUAGACUAUCUCCUACAAUUCCUUUAUUCAAAAAAUAUAAGAUAUUAAGAAUAUUUAAUAUUAAUACACAUUGUAUCUGUGUCUUUAUGUUUAAGGAUCGGUCAAAGGUUUUACCAACAUCGUUUGCUGAUUUUUUUAUGUUUUCUUCUGAUGUUCAUGUUUAUCCAUCAAGACGCUGUGAUUAUUUCUAUCUUCCUGUUUGUAGAACUUCCAUUAAUCAAAAUACUACAAAGUCCAGAGGGCCAAAACUUUGGAAUAAUCUAAACUAUACUCUUAAAUCUAUUUCUUUGUUAGAGACAUUUAAAAAACAGUUAAAAUUAAACUUACUUUUAUCAACUUUUUCAACAAGUGUGAAUAGGAUCAAAUGUAACAUUUUUAUUUAGCUUGACAUGUCUGUUUCUGUUGAUUAUGUUUUGGGGAGGUGGUUAUAUAAGACCUGUGUAGGUCUUCACUCUCUCCUGCACGGAUGUAUUUCAGUUGUAUUUGUCAGUGUAAUCCAUGUGAUUGCAUUUAUGUAUGUGGAAAUAAAAAAAAAAUAAAAAAAUAAGUUUAUCUGUUAAACUAUUUAGUUUUGUUUUUUUUCUUUUAUUUGUAGUCUGUAUUCGUUUGCCACUUUUUAAUUUUAUUUAGUUCUGAACUCACAGCAUUACUUAUAUCUGUCGUUACAACAUAAGUCGUCUUUUUUUGGUUCAAAAGUCCAAACAAAUGAGUCCAUCUCCACAGUGGACAGAACAGCUCUAGCUGUGAGCUCUGAGCUCACUGUUCUCUUUCUUUAAAAAACUGGCGGAGGCGGGCUACCUUGUUCAUAGUUCUGUGACACGUAAUGACGAUGAAAGUAUGAGUGCAGGGUGUUAUGGAGUAAAUGGUGGACUGUAUGACUGAUUCGGGUUUUGGGUAUAACAAUAAACAAGAUGGUGUGCCGAUCAGAGCACAGGAAGGUAAGGAAGAGAUGAGGCUCCACUUGGCAGAUGUUCUGAAUUUAUUCCAGAGGUGAAUAGUAUUCACAUAAAAAGUCAGUAAAUAACAAAGGAUGUAUCUUAUAAUACCAUAAAAGGCAUAAAAAAUAUUUAAUGUAAUUAAAGUAUAACAACAAACAAGGGAAAAUGACUGCAUCAUCACAAGCCUAGAGUCCUCAUAACAAAUGAAAUAAUCAAAUCUGCUUUAAACCCAACUUAAAUAUCAUUUCUCAAUAAAACGGGCAAACAGCGACCUCUAAUGGUCGAGAAAAUUACUGCAGGGGAAAAGGAGGGGGGUUCUCUCCCCCUUCUUCCAGCAGGAAGUUAACAUUGCUCAUUUUGCUGCUCCUCCAUGUUCACUCUACAAAUGGUUCUGGCCCUGGCCUAUUUAAACAUAUUCACCAGCCUUUACAAUUAUAUAGGCACAUUAGGCUGCACCU